UACGUAGGUGACAAGCGUUGUCCGGAUUUACUGGGCGUAAAGAGCGCGCAGGCGGUCGUUCAAGUCGAGUGUGAAAGCCCCCGGCUCAACUGGGGAGGGUCACUCGAUACUGAUCGACUCGAAGGCAGGAGAGGGUAGUGGAAUUCCCGGUGUAGCAGUGAAAUGCGUAGAGAUCGGGAGGAACAUCAGUUGCGAAGGCGUCCACCUGGACCAGCACUGACACUGAGGCACGAAAGCGUGGGGAGCAAACAGG
rnacentral:rRNA from 1 species